rnacentral:rRNA from 1 species
AUUGAACGCUGGCGGCAGGCCUAACACAUGCAAGUCGAGCGAGCGGCGGACGGGUGAGUAAUGUCUGGGCAACUGCCUGAUGGAGGGGGGUAACUACUGGAAAAGGUAGCUAAUAACGCAUACCAUCAGAUGUGCCCAGCUGGGAGUAGCUAGUAGGUGGGGUAACGGCUAACCUAGGCGACGAUCCCUAGCUGGUCUGAGAGGAUGACCAGCCACACUGGAACUGAGACACGGUCCAGACUCCUACGGGAGGCAGCAGUGGGGAAUAUUGCACAAUGGGCGCAAGCCUGAUGCAGCCAUGCCGCGUGUGUGAAGAAGGUCUUCGGGUUGUAAAGCACUUUCAGCGGAGAGGCGUUACCCACAGAAGAAGCAACGGCUAACUCCGUGCCAGCAGCCGCGGUAAUAC